CGUUGCUCUUAACUAUCUUAAACGUCUUUGCGCAUCUCUGGAUGGACUAGACGAUCUUUCCUGUGCUCUUUGCUUGCUGCGAAGCUCCCCAUAUUUACAACAUCUUGAAGUGAAGGUAUCUAUGGAUGAAUUGGAUGAUGAAGUUGAAGUUUCUGCAAGCUUCUCAGUUGUGACAUUGAAUCACCUCAGGACUGUUGAAAUUGAAGGAAUAACAGGCACAAUACUUGAUAUGCAGCUUAUCAAGCUUCUAUUGGCCAAAUCUCCGAUGCUGGUGAGAAUGCUAAUUGAGCCAGACUUAUAUUUGGGUAAACAAAGAAAAAGGAGCUGACAUACUUGCAGAGUUAUCAACAUUUCAGCGGGCAUCGCGUAAAGCUGAAAUUGUAUGUCAAAUGGAGUUGAGUUAGGAGAAUGCAGUAGUAUAUGGAUGUAUUUCUGUGACUUGGAUAUGAACCUAGUCUAUAAAAAGUUAUAACAAAUGUCUAUCUAGUAUUAUAACAGUGUGUUUAGCCUUGCCGUUUUUAGAUAGAGAGACGAGUGAAUAUCUAUUUGGGAACAUGAGCUUGCUUGAUGGACAUUUUUAGUUGGUUUGUUCUGUAAUAACAUUGUCAUUACAUGUUAAGAAUGUUUACAUUUAGUUGCCUGCAAAUGAAUGAUUUAUGGAAUGUGACAUACACAUGAA